GAGCAGCAGUGGGGAAUAUUGGACAAUGGGCGAAAGCCUGAUCCCAGCCAUGCCGCGUGUGUGAAGAAGGCCCUCGGGUUGUAAAGCACUUUCAGCGGGGAAGAAGGCGUGGCGGUUAAUACCCGCCACGAAGGACAUCACCCGCAGAAGAAGCACCGGCUAACUCCGUGCCAGCAGCCGCGGUAAUACGGAGGGUGCAAGCGUUAAUCGGAAUUACUGGGCGUAAAGGGCGCGUAGGCGGCCUGUCACGCCGGGUGUGAAAGCCCCGGGCUCAACCCGGGAACGGCAUCCGGAACGGGCAGGCUCGAGUGCAGGAGAGGAAGGUAGAAUUCCCGGUGUAGCGGUGAAAUGCGUAGAGAUCGGGAGGAAUACCAGUGGCGAAGGCGGCCUUCUGGACUGACACUGACGCUGAGGCGCGAAAGCAUGGGUAGCAAACAGGAUUAGAUACCCUGGUAGUCCAUGCCGUAAACGAUGUCGACCAGCCGUUGGCCUCCUCGAGAGGCUGGUGGCGCAGUUAACGCGCUAAGUCGACCGCCUGGGGAGUACGGCCGCAAGGCUAAAACUCAAAUGAAUUGACGGGGGCCCGCACAAGCGGUGGAGCAUGUGGUUUAAUUCGAUGCAACGCGAAGAACCUUACCUGCCCUUGACAUCCCGGGAAUCCGCCGGAGACGGCGGAGUGCCUUCGGGAACCCGGAGACAGGUGCUGCAUGGCUGUCGUCAGCUCGUGUGUGAAAU
rnacentral:rRNA from 1 species